AAGAUUUUGUUGUCAACUUUUAGCCCGCAAUCAGGCAUCGCCGCCAUGUUGGCAGCAAGAUAACUCCAGCAAGUUCGUUAUAGAAAAUAUAGUAAUGAGAAACAGUUCGGCGCGUCCUCGAUAAUUAUAUGGCUAUUCCAUUUUUGUUUUGUGUAUGCCAUCACGAGCAAUGUCAAAGAAGGUAAUUUUGACAACUUAGGUCGAAUCGCAUCGUUAGAAUACACGUUUUAGAGUCAAAAUUUUGUUAUUGUGGUCUGAUGCUUUUGCCAACUUGCCAACAUUCAAUCAUGGUUAUGCUUGUAUUGCGAGUUACAAUGAAAAGGAUCAUCAACUUUGUCUAUGGAAUUUUCCUUGUAUGGAAACUGUGAACAUGUACGGAAUGGCACUGGUAUCAUGUUAAGACUCUUCAAGAUGCUCUUUCCAACAUUCAGAUUUUUGGUUGUGACUGAGAAGCAAUCCACGAAGGUGUCUUCAAGUUGCAUAAUGUAAUUUAAAUAGCACGAUGAAGGAGCAGUCAACCCACCAAAGUUGAGUUCUUUAUAUGCCUUGAAAUAGCAAAGCAAAUUACCAUCAUUUUUUGUGUUAUUUGAAGUUAAUACGUUCUUACAUUGGAGACAGCUGUGGAUUUUGAAAGCUUUGCUUAGCAAAUAUCCUGAAACAUAGGCAGCAUUUUUGAGCAAUAAAUUGUUGCUAAUAUUUUGUUCUUGGUAGUCAUUUUCACCAAUCAACAGUGAGUUACUUGGAGCUUUUGCAUGGAACAGUUUCCUUUGGAAGAGGUCAAAAGUGAACUGAUAAAAAUCUUUCGAAAAGCUCUGAUAAAUUGUAUUGGCAUGGGAUUGUCAGAAUUACCUCAUUGCUGGCAUAUUGUUCCAAAAAAAUUCUCUAGAGCAUCUGUGAUUAAUCUUCUGGUAAGCAAGAAUGCAAAAUUAUAUGAGGCAUGAAGAUAGGUCCAGAGACAGAUAAUGGCCUUUAUAGAUAUAAGCCAUCCCUUCAGUGAUUUGAUUCUGCCUGUGAUGUUUUUACCAUCUUUUACCACUUUGAUUCCCUGGAUAAAGGACAUUGCUUCUUUGAGAAAAGCAAUGUGAUUAUUGCUGUUGCUUAUUGCACUUCUUUGUUCAUUUGCUGAUUUCAGUGUGGAACUAUUGACGCAAUCAAAAAGCGAAUCAAAUUUGAAAAGCAACUCAGCUGUACCCAAGGCUGAUGGUGGUAGUGCUCCAAUUGAUGAAUAUGUGCAAAUCGAUGCAGCAACGGUGUGGCUGAAUAUUUGUGUAGCAUAUUUAACUUGAAAAUUAAUCAGAAAAUUAAUGCAGCGACAGCGAUGUAACGAAAAUAAUAUAUAUAUAUUAAUAGAAGCAAGAGGAAAAUUUUAUUUCCUUACAACGGAAUCAAUACUUUAAAUUAUCUAAAACAUGACAAAUAUAAGGAACAUGUAGAUAAGAGCAUCUGGAAGUUAGCUACAAUCAUACAAUAUAAGAAUUUUCCCAACACAAUAUGGCAUUGGCAUUAAAUACAAUUGCACAAGUUUGCAAUUUCUCAAUGAACAUUUAUCGAGUGUUCGGGAUAUGACUAAAUUUGUCUGAAUUCUAAAGCACCAAAUCCAAUGUCAUACGAAAUAUCUUUUUUAGUGUAGCCCGUCCGUUGAUAAAUUUCACAUUGUUCCUUCUUGUUUCUGAUUUAAAGACGUUCGUUAAGCGCUUCUCCGCUUCCGUUCUUUACAAAUAAAUAAAUACGAAUAACCUUGA